rnacentral:rRNA from 1 species
AUUAAGCCAUGCAUGUCUAAGUUCACAAUGUUUGACGGUGAAACCGCGAAUGGCUCAUUAAAUCAGUCGAGGUUCCUUAGAUGACACGAUCCUACUAGGAUAACUGUGGCAAUUCUAGAGCUAAUACAUGCUUACCAAGCUCCGACCUUUAUUGGAAAGAGCGCUUUUAUUAGUUCAAAACCAAUCGCCGCGUGCUCCUCCCGGGGUGCGCGGUGUCCCCAUUGGUGACUCUGGAUAACUUUGUGCUGAUCGCAUGGCCUUCGUGCCGGCGACGCAUCUUUCAAAUGUCUGCCCUAUCAAAUGUCGAUGGUACGUGAUAUGCCUACCAUGUUUGUAACGGGUAACGGGGAAUCAGGGUUCGAUUCCGGACAGGGAGCAUGAGAA